GCUCCGGUAGUACAGCCCGGUCAUCACUUAGCAACAGGCCGACAGUAUGCCGGCCUUUCGAGCCGGUAACCCGGGUUCGAAUCCCGGCCGGAGCACCA
rnacentral:tRNA from 1 species